CAUUUUCCCUGCUUUAAUUACACAAAUUCUGGUUUAUUACACACGAUCAGGGUUCUACAGAUACAUAUAUAUGAAUGUUUGUAUAUCAGACCCACUCUUGCCGCCUCUUCUGCUCGUACCACUCUUUUUUCCGCUUUUUUCUAUGGCAUCCAAAUAGCUGGACAGGCAACUCACACAGAUACACUUUUUCGAGUGGGGAAAGUAGGUCAAUUACACGUGUCGUGUGUGCCAAAACGCUGCAUUGGAAUGGGCGUUCUUCUUGUUUAUCUUUUGUGGAGUUUUAUGGACGGAAAACUCGGACCGAAGAUAAACCCGCUAGAUGAUAAAUUGGGGGCACUCUGUGUGGUGCUUUACAAAGCAGAGAUUGGGAAAUGGUCAGACUAAACAUUGUAUUCAAAUCUGUAGGAACAGCUUAAAAUUCGAAAUUGAAACAUAGAAUCUCCAGAAAAUCACUAUUAUUAAUAGAUAUUAUAAAUCACUAUUGUAUUAUAGAUUUCUUCCAUUUAAAUUAACUUUCAAAAGGUAUAGUAUUCCUAACAACAUUGAAAUUAACUUUCAAAAGGUAUAGGAUUUUUAGCUAGAUGGAAAUUAGCUUUCAAAAUGUAUAGCAUUCUUAGAUACUGUAACAUUUGAACAAAAAAGAUACAUUUAUUGGGCCCCCAUUAAAGAUACUGAAAUACAAAUUAUAAUUAAGAAAACCUUGAACUAAAUUGUAUCGCUAUUUUGAAAGUCUUUUUCUUAGUUCUUCCUCAGUAAAAAUAGUCCCCUCAAGAACUCCUUCGGAGUGUAAUUUUCCCGUGUGGAAAGGAAAGGACGUUGAAAGGACAAGGAAACCAUUGGAAUGUGCGGGGGUGGAUACAAAUUGUAUAUGUACAUACUGCGAAUGGCGCAAUUUAGUCGGGGGGUUGGGUUGGGCUGCGUUGGGCGGGUGAGAUAAAAAAGCGCCGAACUACUAUAUGCCCGCAAAUUGGGUCAAUCGAUAAAAGAGGCAGCGACGGAGGCGUCGGCUGUGGCACAUGCGCCCAAAAGGGGCGGGGGGUGGUUGGGUGCGGUGCGGUUCGGUGCCCAAGGAGCUUUUCCAUCGUUUUUCCUUUUUCCGAGAGCCUGUUGUUGGUAAUCCAAUUGUAGGUGGGCCAGAAGCGUUCUAAAUAUAUAUGGGGCCAUGUAAUGUACAUUACACAUAGGAGUCAUGUGUCUUAUAUACAGAGCCGCGUACAUAUAUAUGGUAUACCCUUCCUGCGUUACAUGGCUCGCAAUAUGGAUUACAUCACACGAGGUUCUGCAGCCCGGUUCUGUGUGUGUGUGCGCCUUUUAAUAUUUUAUAGGGCAGCUGUCACUGCUCCACUGGCCACCCCCCGAAAACCCUCUGGAAAACCCCAAAAUACCACCCAUCGCACCCACUAAAUGCGGCCUCGUAAAGCGGAGUUUGUCGUUCCAAGCUGAUAAAAUAAAUAAAGGAGCCGUAAUGAAUGUUUUUCUUCCAGGGCUGAUUAAAUUUUUGCCAGCAAUUCUAAAUAUUUUAUCCAACAAGAAUGUUAAACAUUGCGGCUGGCAAAAGUUUCACUGGAACUUGUAACUUUAUUCUCAGCGGUCUAAAAUUGAUUUUGUAAGUGCUGUAGGCCAUUUUACAUUACGAGUGGCUUAGAGGAGAAACAUUUUGUUCUUUCUUGUAGUUUUCUUUGCACGAUUUUGUAUUGUAUACGUAUUCUUGAUACCAUUAAAGGGCCAACUUAGUAUAGGCUCUAAAAAUAAGUAAAUAAGCAGCCUUUGUCAUAAACUUUCGUUUUUCUUGAAAAUCAGACCUUAGAUAUAGACAUAUUUGUUCAGAACAACGUAAUCUUUUAAUAAAGUAAUGUU